GGGUUGUGAGGUUAAGCGACUAAGCGUACACGGUGGAUGCCCUGGCAGUCAGAGGCGAUGAAGGACGUGCUAAUCUGCGAUAAGCGCCGGUAAGGUGAUAUGAACCGUUAUAACCGGCGAUUUCCGAAUGGGGAAACCCAGUGUGACUCGUCACACUAUCAUUAACUGAAUCCAUAGGUUAAUGAGGCGAACCGGGGGAACUGAAACAUCUAAGUACCCCGAGGAAAAGAAAUCAACCGAGAUUCCCCCAGUAGCGGCGAGCGAACGGGGAGGAGCCCAGAGCCUGAAUCAGCAUGUGUGUUAGUGGAAGCGUCUGGAAAGGCGCGCGAUACAGGGUGACAGCCCCGUACACAAAAGCGCAUAUGCUGUGAGCUCGAUGAGUAGGGCGGGACACGUGGUAUCCUGUCUGAAUAUGGGGGGACCAUCCUCCAAGGCUAAAUACUCCUGACUGACCGAUAGUGAACCAGUACCGUGAGGGAAAGGCGAAAAGAACCCCGGCGAGGGGAGUGAAAAAGAACCUGAAACCGUGUACGUACAAGCAGUGGGAGCACCCUUUGGGGUGUGACUGCGUACCUUUUGUAUAAUGGGUCAGCGACUUAUAUUCUGUAGCAAGGUUAACCG
rnacentral:rRNA from 1 species